rnacentral:sRNA from 1 species
ACUCAACGUUAAUUCUUUAAAAAGGGUGAGUUGAAGUUGUAAAAUCGUGCUGCUAUUUCUAAGUUUUCUUAGUCUUUAGGCAGAUUUUUGAUCAGCUUGUUAGCCCUAAACUUGUUUUUAAGGAGUUU